UACGAAGGGGGCUAGCGUUGCUCGGAAUCACUGGGCGUAAAGCGCACGUAGGCGGACUCUUAAGUCGGUGGUGAAAUCCUGGAGCUCAACUCCAGAACUGCCUUCGAUACUGAGAGUCUCGAGUCCGGGAGAGGUGAGUGGAACUGCGAGUGUAGAGGUGAAAUGCGUAGAUAUCUGGAGGAACACCGGUGGCGAAGGCGGCAUCCUGGACCAAUUCUGACGCUGAGGAGCGAAAGCCAGGGGAGCAAACGGG
rnacentral:rRNA from 1 species